AGCAAAGAUGGACUCAAGAGUUUCUGCAGUGGUUUCAUGCCUUAAAGAUACACAUGCGUUCAAACAAUAUCUCAUCUCUGGGUUAGGGUAAACUGUUAAGAUUUAAACUUACUCAUUUUACCUUCCACCAUGGGGCUUGUAACCGUCACUUGUGUCUUGAGCAGUUAAAAGAUAGAACGGUCUAGUCAAGCGCCAUGUCUCUUGUUCUUUGAUUAACUAUAGCUCUAGAGUUUUUGCAGAUUUUCAAAUAAAACUCAAAGAUUCCUUGUAUGACUCUCUCUAGUCUCUCUUUUGUGGUAUUUCUAGAUCCUUACCAAGGCAGUAAUGGUGUAUGCCUUCUCUCAAAGUAUGUGGUAUUUUUGGUAUGAGGCAUAGUGGCAUUGCCUUCUCUCUCACCCUACUCUAAUAAGGUUUUGAUAUCUAGAGCUCAUAGGUGGGAGACAGCUAAUACAUACUUACAAGACAUUUAUUGCAUAGUCAAACCACGGAUCCAAAAGAACAAGUCAAUAAGUCAAAUCAAGAUGUGCAUGUGUGGUGAAUGAAUGGUGUAUGGUGAUGAUGGUGAUAACAAUGGUGAAAGUCUAAUUCUACUUAUGCUCUUUUGAGGGGAUACAUACCUUUCUUGCUCUUUUGAAACUUUUUGAGGAGAAUGAGAUGCUCUAUAUUUUCUUUUUCCUUUCACUUAUGUGGGUAUCUUGUAACCCUAAUUCUACUAUCGGACACUUGUCCAUUUUUACCUCUCGUCUCACUCUUUCUUUUCUUUCGAGGUUUCGGGACUUGCCCCUUUUUAUUUCCUCGUAUUUUUCCUUUUUCUUUUUUUCUCUUCUCUUUUUUACAGCACACAUCUCCUGAAAUAAUAUAGCAAGUGGUAGUAACCAAGAUAACUCGAGCAUUUAUUUCAUAGGGAAAAAUAGGAAUAUUUUUAGCUAUUCUCUCCUGGAUUAGGAGUAGAAUAUUUUUAGGUGAUUCUGGAGAUGGAAAUGGGUGGAUAUAUGUGGAUGCGUACUUCCGGAGUAGAAGCAGCAUGUGUGAGUGAACGUGCAAGUGAAUCUUGAUUUAACCACAUGACAAGCUCCUAAGGGUCUACACAGCUUGACCACACUCAAUGCUCAUAAGUAGUAAAAAGUAAAUGUAUGGUUCAUAGUCUAGUAAGCAUGUAUAUAUGGCUGUGGUAGGAUUUUGAACUCUCAUCAUACAGGAACUCAUCAUGCAACAUUUUAAAGAUUUUCAAAGAUAAAAUUCUCCAGAAUUCUAGCAUCUCUAGGAACAGAUAAACAGUAGCUCAACCUUCCCAUAUCAUAUCUGUUAACGACUUAGACUUUAGAUCAAGUACUCUUGUCACAAGUUCAGGUUUAGAGCAAAUCUUAAUUAAUAACAGUCAUGCCUGAACUUGAGAGAGAUUUCAAUUUUGAGAAUUAGUCAUGGCAGAGCAACUAUUCAUCAUUUCCAUGUGAGAGCUUAUCAUGAGGGUUCAUAGCAAACUUUAUUUAUUUAUUUAUUUAUUUAGCAAACUAAGCAAAG
rnacentral:lncRNA from 1 species